CCAGACAAUGAUGCAUAGCCGAGUUGAGAGACUGAUCGGCCACAUUGGGACUGAGACACGGCCCAAACUCCUACGGGAGGCUGCAGUAGGGAAUCUUCCACAAUGGGCGAAAGCCUGAUGGAGCAACGCCGCGUGUGUGAUGAAGGCUUUCGGGUCGUAAAGCACUGUUGUAUGGGAAGAAAAGUUAAGGUAGGGAAUGACCUUAGCCUGACGGUACCAUACCAGAAAGGGACGGCUAAAUACGUGCCAGCAGCCGCGGUAAUACGUAUGUCCCGAGCGUUAUCCGGAUUUAUUGGGCGUAAAGCGAGCGCAGACGGUUGGUUAAGUCUGAUGUGAAAGCCCGGAGCUCAACUCCGGAAAGGCAUUGGAAACUGGUUAACUUGAGUGCAGUAGAGGUAAGUGGAACUCCAUGUGUAGCGGUGGAAUGCGUAGAUAUAUGGAAGAACACCAGCGGCGAAGGCGGCUUACUGGACUGUAACUGACGUUGAGGCUCGAAAGUGUGGGUAGCAAACAGGAUUAGAUACCCUGGUAGUCCACACCGUAAACGAUGAACACUAGGUGUUAGGAGGUUUCCGCCUCUUAGUGCCGAAGCUAACGCAUUAAGUGUUCCGCCUGGGGAGUACGACCGCAAGGUUGAAACUCAAAGGAAUUGACGGGGACCCGCACAAGCGGUGGAGCAUGUGGUUUAAUUCGAAGCAACGCGAAGAACCUUACCAGGUCUUGACAUCCUUUGAAGCUUUUAGAAAUAGAAGUGUUCUCUUCGGAGACAAAGUGACAGGUGGUGCAUGGUCGUCGUCAGCUCGUGUCGUGAGAUGUUGGGUUAAGUCCCGCAACGAGCGCAACCCUUAUUGUUAGUUGCCAGCAUUCAGAUGGGCACUCUAGCGAGACUGCCGGUGACAAACCGGAGGAAGGCGGGGACGACGUCAGAUCAUCAUGCCCCUUAUGACCUGGGCUACACACGUGCUACAAUGGCGUAUACAACGAGUUGCCAACCUGCGAAGGUGAGCUAAUCUCUUAAAGUACGUCUCAGUUCGGACUGCAGUCUGCAACUCGACUGCACGAAGUCGGAAUCGCUAGUAAUCGCGGAUCAGCACGCCGCGGUGAAUACGUUCCCGGGUCUUGUACACACCGCCCGUCACACCAUGGAAGUUUGUAAUGCCCAAAGCCGGUGGCCUAACCGUAAGGAGGGAACCGUUCUAAGGC
rnacentral:rRNA from 1 species